ACUCCUACGGGAGGCAGCAGUGGGGAAUCUUAGACAAUGGGCGCAAGCCUGAUCUAGCCAUGCCGCGUGAGUGAUGAAGGUCUUAGGAUCGUAAAGCUCUUUCGCCAGGGAUGAUAAUGACAGUACCUGGUAAAGAAACCCGGCUAACUCCGUGCCAGCAGCCGCGGUAAUACGGAGGGGGUUAGCGUUGUUCGGAAUUACUGGGGCGUAAAGCGCGCGUAGGCGGAUCAGAAAGUAGGGGGUGAAAUCCCGGGGCUCAACCCCGGAACUGCCUCCUAAACUCCUGGUCUUGAGUUCGAGAGAGGUGAGUGGAACUCCGAGUGUAGAGGUGAAAUUCGUAGAUAUUCGGAAGAACACCAGUGGCGAAGGCGGCUUACUGGCUCGAUACUGACGCUGAGGUGCGAAAGUGUGGGGAGCAAACAGGAUUAGAUACCCUGGUAGCGACUGA
rnacentral:rRNA from 1 species